ACGCUCGACACCUACGGGAGGCAGCAGUGGGGAAUAUUGCACAAUGGGGAAACCCUGAUGCAGCGACGCCGCGUGAAGGAAGAAGUAUCUCGGUAUGUAAACUUCUAUCAGCAGGGAANAAAUGACGGUACCUGACUAAGAAGCCCCGGCUAACUACGUGCCCGCAGCCGCGGUAAUCUGAGCGGGCUGGCAAGGC
rnacentral:rRNA from 1 species